rnacentral:rRNA from 1 species
AUUGAACGCUGGCGGCAGGCUUAACACAUGCAAGUCGAGCGGAGAGAGGUAGCUUGUUACUGAUCUUAGCGGCGGACGGGUGAGUAAUGCUUAGGAAUCUGCCUAUUAGUGGGGGACAGCAUUUCGAAAGGAAUGCUAAUACCGCAUACGUCCUACGGGAGAAAGCAGGGGAUCUUCGGACCUUGCGCUAAUAGAUGAGCCUAAGUCGGAUUAGCUAGUUGGUGGGGUAAAGGCCUACCAAGGCGACGAUCUGUAGCGGGUCUGAGAGGAUGAUCCGCCACACUGGGACUGAGACACGGCCCAGACUCCUACGGGAGGCAGCAGUGGGGAAUAUUGGACAAUGGGCGGAAGCCUGAUCCAGCCAUGCCGCGUGUGUGAAGAAGGCCUUAUGGUUGUAAAGCACUUUAAGCGAGGAGGAGGCUACUUUAGUUAAUACCUAGAGAUAGUGGACGUUACUCGCAGAAUAAGCACCGGCUAACUCUGUGCCAGCCGCCGCGGUAA